AUUGUGGGGGGUCAAUUUUUUCUCAUUUCAGAUUUCAGAAAUUAAAAAGAAUUAUUCUUCAAAUAUUAUUUUUUUUUCAAAUUUCAAAUAUUGAAAAAUUUCAAGAAGAAAUCUUUAAUUGCACAGUAUGGCGCAUUAGAUUUGUAAAAUCUUUGACCACAUUUAUUUAUUUGUUAUGAUGAAUCUAACUGUGUAUUUAGAUUUUUAAUAUUGGGUCCAGUUUUCAAAUUGGUCUACAUUAAGGUCCAAAGGGUCCAAAAUUAAACUUUGUUUGAUUUUAACAAAAAUUGAAUAUAUGGGGUUCUUUGAUAUGCUGAAUCUAAACAUGUAUUUAGAUUUUUGAUUUUUGGCCCAGUUUUCAAGUUGGUCCAAAUUGGGGUCCAAAAUUAAACUUUGUUUGAUUUCAACAAAAAUUGAAUAUAUGGGGUUCUUUGAUAUGCUGAAUCUUACCAUGUAUUUAGAUUUUUUAUUUGUGGGCCCGCUAUCAAAUUGGUUCAUAUUGAGGUCAAAAGGGUCCAAAAUUAAAUUUUGUUUGAUUUCAUCAAAAAUUGAAUUCUUGGGGUUCUUUGAUAUGCCAAAUCUAACCGUGUUUUUAGAUUUUUAAUUUUGGGUCCCAUUUUUAAAUUGGUCUACAUUUAGGUCCAAAGGGUCCAAAAUUAAACUUAGUUUGAUUUUAACAAAAAUUGAAUUCUUGGGGUACUUUGAUAUGCUGAAUCUAAACAUGUGUUUAGAUUUUUGAUUAUGGGACCAGUUUUCAAGUUUGUCCAAGUUGGGGUCCAAAAUUAUACUUUGUUUGAUUUCAACAAAAAUUGAAUAUAUGGGGUUCUUUGGUAUGCUGAAUCUAACCAUGUAUUUUGAUUUUGGAAAUUGGACCAUAAUAGGUAAAUUAAAAAAAUUGAAGUUCUUAGACCACAUUCUUUCUGUGUCAGAAACCUAUGCUGUGUCAAAUAUUUAAUCACAAUCCAAAUUCAGAGCUGUAUCAAGCUUGAAUGUUGUGUCCAUACUUGCCCCAACUGUUCAGGGUUCGACCUCUGCGGUCGUAUCAAGCUGCGCCCAGCGAAGCAUUUUAUUGAUUAUGGGCCCAGUUUUCAAGUUUGUCCAAGUUGGAGUCCAAAAUUUAACUUUGUUUGAUUUCAACAAAAAUUGAAUAUAUGGGGUUCUUUGAUAUGCUGAAUCUAAACAUGUAUUUAGAUUUUAGAUUUUUGGCCCAGUUUUCAAGUUGGUCCAAAUUGGGGUCCAAAAUUAAACUUUGUUUGAUUUCAACAAAAAUUGAAUAUAUGGGGUUCUUUGAUAUGCUGAAUCUAACUUUGUAUUUAGAUUUUUUAUUUGUGGACCCCGUUAUCAAAUUGGUUCAUAUUGAGGUCAAAAGGGUCCAAAAUCAAACUUUGUUUGAUUUCAACAAAAAUUGAAUAUAUGGGGUUCUUUGAUAUGCUGUAUCUAACUAUGUAUUUAGAUUUUUGAUUUUUGGGCCCCGUUAUCAACUUUGUCCACAUUGAGGUCAAAAGGGUCCAAAAUUAAACUUAGUUUGAUUUUAACAAAAAUUGAAUUCUUGGGGUUCUUUGAUAUGCUGAAUCUAAACAUGUGUUUAGAUUUUUGAUAAUGGGCCCAGUUUUCAAAAUGGUCCAAGUUGGGGUCCAAAAUUAAACUUUGUUUGAUUUCAACAAAAAAUGAAUAUAUGGGGUUCUUUGAUAUGCUGAAUCUAAACAUGUAUUUAGAUUUUAGAUUUUUGGCCCAGUUUUCAAGUUGGUCCAAAUUGGGGUCCAAAAUUAAACUUUGUUUGAUUUCAACAAAAAUUGAAUAUAUGGGGUUCUUUGAUAUGCUGAAUCUUACCAUGUAUUUAGAUUUUUUAUUUGUGGGCCCGCUAUCAAAUUGGUUCAUAUUGAGGUCAAAAGGGUCCAAAAUUAAACUUUGUUUGAUUUCAUCAAAAAUUGAAUUAUUGGGGUUCUUUGAUAUGCCAAAUCUAACCGUAUUUUUAGAUUUUUAAUUUUGGGUCCUGUUUUUAUACGACCGCAAAAAAAUUUUGUGGUCAUAUAUUGGUAUGACGUUGGCGUUGUCGUCGUCGUCGUCGUCGUCGUCGUCCGAAGACAUACUGGUUUUCGCACUCUAACUUUAGUUUAAGUUAAUGGAUCUUUUUGAAAUUUGACCAUAAGGUUAAAUACCACAAAAGGAAGGUUGGGAUUGAUUUUGGGGGUUAUGGUACCAACAGUUAAGGAAUUAGGGGCCAAAAAGGGGCCAAAAAUAAGCAUUUUCUAGUUUCCAGACAAUAACUGUGGAACGGUGUAUGGAUCUCUCUGAAAUUAAACUACAAGUUUCCAUACCACAAAGGGAUGGUUAGGAUUUGCUUUGGGGGGUUAUGGCUCAAACCGUUUAGGAAUUAGGGGCAAAAAGGGGGAAAAACAAGGUUGUCCUGGUUAAUGGACAAAUACUUUUGUACAAAACAUAAUUUAAAGCAGUGUAAGGGAGAUAAAUCAAAUACAUCAUUGAGAUUAUCUCCCUUACACUGCUUUUAAAUUAUGUAUAAAGUAAUGGUUAAUGAACAAUAAAGAUAAUUUAAAACAGUGUAAGGGAGGUAAUCAAAAUACAACGUUUUGGUUACUUCCCUUACACUGCUUUUAAAUUAUGUUUAAAGAAAUGCAUAUCUAUAAAGGAAGACCAGUAAAAAUAUCUGCAAAUGUUGCAUCUUUUUUUUUUACAAAAAAAUCCAUAUGAAAGAUUUGACAGUAUAUUUUUAAUUCUAUUAUAAAAUAGAUUAAGUUAGCACUAUGGUAAAUUUAAAUGGGUAAUUAUGGUUGCCAACUCCAUUGGAAAUUUGAAUUGAGAUUAUGACCAUAUCUUGAGGGAAAGAAUUUUUUUGGGGAAAAAAGGGGGGGGGAUAAAAAGAAAUUGUGGGGGGUCAAUUUUUUCUCAUUUUAGAUUUCAGAAAUUAAAAAGAAUUAUUCUUCAAAUAUUUUUUUUUUUUCAAAUUUCAAAUAUUGAAAAAUUUCAAGAAGUAAUCUUUAAUUGCACAGUAUGGCGCAUUAGAUUUGUAAAAUCUUUGAUCACAUUUAUUUAUUUGUUAUGCCGAAUCUAACAGUGUAUUUAAAUUUUUUAUUUUGGGUCCAGUUUUCAAAUUGGUCUACAUUAAGGUCCAAAGGGUCCAAAAUUAAACUUUGUUUGAUUUUAGCAAAAAUUGAAUAUAUGAGGUUCUUUGAUAUGCUGAAUCUAAACAUGUAUUUAGAUUUUUGAUUUUUUGGCCCAGUUUUCAAGUUGUUCCAAAUUGGGGUCCAAAAUUUAACUUUGUUUGAUUUCAACAAAAAUUGAAUAUGUGGGGUUCUUUGAUAUGCUGAAUCUAACCAUGUAUUUGGAUUUUUUAUUUGUGGACCCCGUUAUCAAAUUGGUUCAUAUUGAGGUCAAAAGGGUCCAAAAUUAAACUUUGUUUGAUUUCAUCUAAAAUUGAAGUAUUGGGGUUCUUUGAUAUUCCAAAUCUAACCGUGUAUUUAGAUUUUUAAUUUUUGGUCCUGUUUUUUAAAUUUGUCUUCAUUGAGGUCCAAAGGGUCCAAAAUUAAACUUAGUUUGAUUUUAACAAAAAUUGAAUUCUUGGGGUUCUUUGAUAUUCCAAAUCUAACCGUGUAUUUAGAUUUUUAAUUUCAAGUCCCGUUUUUAAAUUGGUCUACAUUAAGGUCCAAAGGGUCCAAAAUUAAACUUAGUUUGAUUUUAACAAAAAUUGAAUUCUUGGGGUUCUUUGAUAUGCUGAAUCUAAACAUGUGUUUAGAUUUUUGAUUAUGGGCCCAGUUUUCAAGUUUGUCCAAGUUGGAGUCCAAAAUUAAACUUUGUUUGAUUUCAACAAAAAUUGAAUAUAUGGGGUUCUUUGAUAUGCUGAAUCUAACCAUGUAUUUUGAUUUUGGACAUUGGACCAUAAUAGGUAAAUUAAAAUAAUACAAGUUCUUAGACCACAUUCUUUCUGUGUCAGAAACCUAUGUUGUGUCAAAUAUUUAAUCACAAUCCAAAUUCAGAGCAGUAUCAAGCUUGAAUGUUGUGUCCAUACUUGCCCCAACUGUUCAGGGUUCGACCUCUGCGGUCGUAUCAAGCUGCGCCCAGCGAAGCAUUUUAUAAUUUCUUCAUGCUUGAAGAUAUUGAUUUGAUAAUUGAUAUAUUGUUUUAGCAUGACAAGUUACAGAUCAAAUUCGUAUUUUGUUCCGGUCUGAUAAUUUUGUGCAGAGCUAUGGUCCUUGGACUUAGAAAAUUCACUCAAAUAAUCAGUUUUUCACACUUUUUUUGGUCAUGCUUGAAGAUAUUGAUUUGAUAAUUUGUAUAUAGUUUUAUCAUGACAAGUUACUGACCAAGUUCGAAUUUUGUUCCGGUCUGAUGAUUUUGUGCAGAAUUAUGGUCCUUGGACCUAGAAAAUUCACUCAAAUAAUCAGUUUUCACACUUUUUUUUCGUCAUGCUUGAAGAUAUUGAUUUGAUAAUUGAUAUAUAGUUUUAUCAUGACAAGUUACAGACCAAGUUCGAAUUUUGUUUCGAUCUGAUGAUUUUGUGCAGAGUUAUGUCCUUGGACUUAGAAAAUUCACUUAAAUAA